AUGUUCAGUAUUAAGGAAGUUAUGACAGUCUUUGCAUUAGAAUAACACAAAAGCUGUAAUCAACAAAAGUGAAUUCAAUGACUUAAUGUUCAAUAACUUCCUUGUGGGUUGAGAUAACUGAAUGAAACUUUCAACACAUACAGAGAAAGUUAAAGAGAAUCAGAAAAGACACUAAACAAUUAAGUUGGAUAUCUAUUUUUCCUUUUGAAAUUAGUUAAUUAACCAAUUAGUGUGACGGACAAGGAAGGCUAAAGAGGCAAAAACGCAGUGACAUGGACCAGUAUUGCAUUUUAUGACAAGAAAAGUCACCAAGUAAGUAAUUCUCAACUUAAGCAACAUGCUUAAAAUACUUUUGCAGAUAGUUGAAACAGGCAUAACUGGUAAUUACCCUCAUGGGUGAUAAUUAGUACAAUAUUCCAAGGUCAAGGCCAUCACUUACACAAAACAUCACACAGGUCCAUGACCACCAUCAAGAAUAAGGUGUUAAAAUCUUGCUGUCAUGGUGUAAAUCACUGCACCAAGUUUUUGAUUGCAUAUAAUGCCAUAAUACCGGCUUUUGAUAGUAUUAAAGCAGUUUUAUUUCUGCAGGAUUUUGGGGAAUUUUCAUAGAUUUCGUGUCCGCCAUGACACUCAGUCAAUCAGACAGGCGAUCUUCGGAACGGUAAAUAACUGUCUCCGAUUCAUUUGAUUUUAAUUAAACUUCACCAGUUCACAGAAAAAACAAUAAAAAGAGCAUCCACUUACCUUUUGUUAUUGUCCAAAGCAUAGAUUUUGGUUUAGAACAGGUUGAACUUGAUGAAAAUUUUCGGCGCAAGCGAAAAUGACAAACCGUAUGAUCAAAUUGAAAAAUUCGAAUUCGAGGCUGAAGAGGGGAAUCCUAAGUAUGUCAUAACAAGGAAUCUCGCAGAAAUAGGCAAUCACAGACAGCCCACUGCCCAUUUUAGCUUGGGGUUACCCUGUGAUGCACUUAUAUCGCAUAGCAGUGGCGAUCGUAGAAAAUGGCGGCCGGGACUCCCGUGGAUUGUAACAGACCUACUAACUUGCUAACGUUAAUUAGGUAUAAAGACUGCUAGCUAAGUAAACUUAGUUAUUGGAAAAAGCUUCGUAAAACCGUACAGAAAUAAAAUGCACACAGUCCUUUUAGUUCUUAUUCAAGUUUCUUCUUUUAAUUAAACAACCUUCUCUACAAUUAACAUCGCCAUCUACAGACGACCCGGUAUACUAGUUAUGGGAAUACCGGCUCUUUUAAGAGAGCCGGCUAUUAUGGCUCGGCUCACUUAAAAGAGCCGGCUCUUUCGGCUCCCAAGUGGCUCUUCAGAUUUUUUUGGUGCUUAAAUGAAUUUAUUACCAAAAAUAAUGUAAAAUUAUUAGUGAAAUGAAUUACUAUGGGGGGCAGCAUGGUGGUGCAGUGGUUAGCACUGUCGCCUCACACCUCUGGGUCCCAGGUUCGAGUCUCCGCCUGGGUCACAUGUGUGUGGAGUUUGCAUGUUCUCCCCAUAUCGUCGUGGGGUUUCCUCCGGGUACUCCGGUUUCCCCCCACAGUCCAAAAAUAUGCUGAGGCUAAUUGGAGUUGCUAAAUUGUCCAUAGCUGUGCAUGUGUGUGUGAAUGGUGUGUGAGUGUGCGCUGCGAUGGGCUGGCCCCCAGGGACGGAUUACAGACCGGGCCAGCGGGGCCGCUGCCCAGGGGCCCUUGGGGUGCAGGGGGCCCGUGGGGCCCCUAGCCCAAAACAAUUUGCAACGCUUAUUAACAAUGUGUUUUCGUUUGUCUAUUUUAGAGGGCCUAUAUUCUUUGACCCUAUAGGGAGGGCGUUUGGCUGCCAAGGGCCCUUGAAUUGUGGUGGUGGUGGUGGGGGGGGCCCUCGCGAACGUUUUGCCCAGGGGCCCACACAACCCAUAAUCCGUCCCUGCUGGCCCCCCAUCCUAUGUUGUUCCCUGCCUCGUGCCCAUUGUUUCCAGGAUAGACUCCGGACCCCCUGCGACCCAGUAGGAUAAGUGGUUUGGAAAAUGGAUGGAUGGAUGGAAUUACUAUGGUUGGAAAUCGCAUGCAAUCAUUUUAGCCAAUUCCUCAUCAGUUGUUUUCUGUUUUACUUGAGUCAUAGCUUUUUGCACAAACUGUCUCAUAGAGCUCUAGGUUGUAGGUCUAGGUGGUUGUGGUGCUGUACUGGAUGACGAUGUAGACAUUGACAAACUGGCACUUUCAACAGUUGCAGUAGACAAACUGUCACUUUCAUUAGUAGCAGGUUCACUUGCUUCCCUUUUUUCUUCCCACUGCACUGAUGGAUGUACAGUUCUCAUGUGCCAAUGCAGGUUAUUUGUAGAGCCUGUUCGAUAUGAGAUUUUAACCUUGCACGCUCUACACUCUGCCUUUGUAUUAUCAAUGUAAUUGAAAUGUAUCCAAAUUUUA